UAUGUGAUCGUCUCUUGCAUAUCAAUAAGCGGAGGAAAAGAAACUAACAAGGAUUCCCCUAGUAACGGCGAGUGAAGCGGGAAGAGCUCAAAUUUGAAAUCUUAAAGGGUUUCCCUUUACGAAUUGUAGUUUAAAGAAGUGUUUUCUGUUGAGGUUUUGGUAAAAGUUCUUUGGAAUAGGACAUCAUAGAGGGUGAGAAUCCCGUAUUUGACCUUUACUUUCAACUUUGUGAUACACUUUCAAAGAGUCGGAUUGUUUGGGAAUGCAGUCCAAAAUGGGUGGUAAAUUUCAUCUAAAGCUAAAUAUUGGCGAGAGACCGAUAGCGAACAAGUACCGUGAGGGAAAGAUGAAAAGAACUUUGAAAAGAGAGUUAAACAGUACGUGAAAUUGUCAAAAGGGAAGCGUUUGACACCAGUGUUGUUUUUCUGAAAACUCAAUUAAAGAACUGCUUAUGCUAAGUUGUUUAGACUUUAUCAGCUAACUGUUUAGUUUUGAGCUUUUCUUUAAUGCACUUUUCAGUUAACAAGUCAACAUCAAUUUCUUUUGCUGUAAAAAAGCUUGAGGAAGGUGGCUUGAGAUUCGUCUUAAGUGUUUAUAGCCUCUUGCCUAUGCAGUCGGAGAGAUUGAGGUCUGCAGCGUAGAUCCUUCGGGGCUAAAUGCAUUUGUGCUAAGUUAUAGCAUUUUACAGAUAACUUGUUGACUAUGAUUUGUCUUGUAGCUUACUCGCUUAUGUUAUUUUACCUACGCUUAGGAUGUUGACUGAUAUGUAGUCGUA
rnacentral:rRNA from 1 species